CUGUUCUUGUGCCCAUGAUGGCAAGCCAGUCUCCGUGGGAAGCCAUGCCUGUCUCCAAUACCACCAUGGUAUAGCGAGAUGGCAGGUACAGGUGCACCUGGUAUGUUCUUGUCAGGAGCUGGCUCCAAAUAAGGCUGCUGUGAGCAUCUGUACAGCGUCUUCCAUGGCCAUCUAUCUGAUCACUUUGCUGUCCUUGCAGGUGUCAAGAGGGCCUCUAAACAUGUCCUAAUGUGUGCUACCCUGUGAUCAAGGGUGUGAAGCACUUUGCACAGUGGCUGGUCCUUUGCAUGGCCCCUGUUAUAAAGCACCACCCUGUUACAGUGCUCUCUGCCUUUUGUGAUAAUUGAAUUUCCUAUCUGCCAUCCUCUUCCUUCCCCAUGUUUGCAAUGAUACAUCUUCUGUUCGGUUACCCCACAUGCCAGGGCUGUCCCAAGAAACAAAACCAACAGGAGGUACUAGGACAGGGGCUCUCUUCAUGGUCUGCCUGUAGCUUUCCAGAUUGGUGUCUGUGCUCUGACAUGGAAAUGUCUGAUGAUGUUGAUGUGGGAGCAUAUGUGCAUGUGUGUGUGAAUACUGGUCGAAGCUAGUUACAAGUGGCAUAAAUAACUCAGGGCGUGGUGCCGGCCACUUUCAUGUAUCAUCUUGGCUGGACAGUGAUGGCCACUUUCUGCUUGUGAAAGAUGGCAGUGGUUGUGGUCAAAGUCUACAAAAAUUACCAGCCGAGUGCCAUGGCAUGUAUCUGGGAGGCUGAGGCAGGAGGUUUGCAGUUUUUGCUUUGGGGCAUGUAGAGAGACCCUGUCCCCGAAAACAAGAAGGAAAGAAAGGUUAAUAGGGCAGGUGGGCCUUGUCUGAUCAGAUGGGGGGGGGGAAGCACGAAGCUUUAGCGUCCUAUGAAGAGUCAGCCUUGAGGUGCUAAUGUAGAGAGCUCCCAGAGUCUCCAACCAACUGGCUCAUCCCACAUGCUAUGGAACUUGCCAAGUUCAAGCUGUCAAAAGAUGAAAUGGAAAUGGACACAGGGCCCCAGGAGACAGCUCAGCUGGUAAAGAUGCUUCCCGGACAAGCGAGGUAACUGGUUUCCACCUCAGGGCCCACAUAAAGGUGGACACAGAGAAUGGAUUCCUAAAAGCUGCUCAGGUUUAACUUAUCUCGAGUAACAAGAGAGAGUCUCGCCCUACUGGCUGAGGAUCUUCAGAGUGAAAUUAAGAGUUUCUGUGGAAGAACAUCUUCUAUUUGUGUAGAAACUGUCCAAAGAAGAAAGGGAAUUUAACAUUAAAAGUGAUUUAAAAAA